CUAGCUUCAGCGAUGGAUCGGUCGAUUCGCGUAUCGAUGAAAAACGCAGCUAGCUGUGUUAUUUACCAUGAAUUGCAGACGCUUAGAGUGGUGAAGUUUUGAACGCAUAGCGUCGUUGGGUUUUCCCUUCGGCACAUCUGGUUCAGGAUUG
rnacentral:rRNA from 1 species